rnacentral:rRNA from 1 species
UGGGGAAUUUUGCACAAUGGGGGAAACCCUGAUGCAGCGACGCCGCGUGAUUUAGAAGGCCUUCGGGUUGUAAAAAUCUUUUCUAUGGGAAGAAAAUGACAGUACCAUAGGAAUAAGGACCGGCUAAUCACGUGCCAGCAGCCGCGGUAAUACGUAAGGUCCGAGCGUUGUCCGGAAUCAUUGGGCGUAAAGGGUACGUAGGCGGGUAAGCAAGUUAGAAGUGAAAUCCUAUAGCUCAACUAUAGUAAGCUUUUAAAACUGCUCAUCUUGAGGUAUGGAAGGGAAAGUGGAAUUCCUAGUGUAGCGGUGAAAUGCGCAGAUAUUAGGAGGAAUACCGGUGACGAAGGCGACUUUCUGGCCAUAACCUGACGCUGAGGUACGAAAGCGUGGGUAGCAAACAGG